rnacentral:rRNA from 1 species
UUGAACGCUGGCGGCAGGCCUAACACAUGCAAGUCGAGCGGCAGCGCGGGGCAACCUGGCGGCGAGCGGCGAACGGGUGAGUAACGCGUAGGAAUCUACCCAGUAGCGGGGGAUAGCCCGGGGGAACUCGGAUUAAUACCGCAUACGCCCUAAGGGGGAAAGCAGGGGAUCUUCGGACCUUGCACUAUUGGAAGAGCCUGCGUUGGAUUAGCUAGUUGGUAGGGUAAAGGCCUACCAAGGCGACGAUCCAUAACUGGUCUGAGAGGAUGAUCAGUCACACCGGAACUGAGACACGGUCCGGACUCCUACGGGAGGCAGCAGUGGGGAAUAUUGGACAAUGGGGGCAACCCUGAUCCAGCCAUGCCGCGUGUGUGAAGAAGGCCUUCGGGUUGUAAAGCACUUUAAGUGGGGAGAAAGGCUCCAGGGUUAAUACCUUUGGGGAUUGAUGCUACCCACAGAAUAAGCACCGGCUAACUCUGUGCCAGCCGCCGCAGUAAUAC